UCUACCCUGCGGAAAGCACAGGGGGGCAGCCACUGCAGCGGGUUCUGCGGGUGCGGGCUUUGCACAAUAGAGGGGAAGGGAGAGAAAGUCUCGCGACUGAACAAAGAACCAGAAGGAGGAGACUCCGCAGUACCGCCCCUCUCCGGAGCCCAGCCGCAGAGAGGAAGAGAGGAAUAGAGGGAGAGAGACAUCAAUGUGGAAGAGAAACAUUGAAGACCCCCAACGAGGGACCUGGCCUGCAACCAGGUUUCAUCCGACCUUUAUUCCUGUCUACAGUCAUCUAACAAUGCGUGCCCACAGAGUGCAUCAUGUCCAAGAAAGCCUUAAGUUUUUGAAAGGAUAGAUGUAAAUUGCCCAAAAUGUCUAGUAUUGAAACUAUGUAAGUCAAGGCGUUUGAUCUUAGAAAAUGGGGAAAUAAGGACUAGUGAAGAAAGUACAAAGAUCUUAUUGUGAAGAACAUAUGAACCCAAACACUCUAAUGAAAUUAAUAGCCUAUUAAAAUG